UUUAAAUUGAGAGUUUGAUCCUGGCUCAGGAUGAAUGCUGGCGGCGUGCUUAACACAUGCAAGUCGAGCGAGAGAGUUUCUUCGGAAACAAUCUAGCGGCGGACGGGUGAGUAACACGUGGGCAACCUGCCUUGUAGUGGGGGAUAGCCCUCCGAAAGGAGGAUUAAUACCGCAUAUUGUCACAUUGAGGCAUCUCAAAGUGAUGAAAGGAGUAAUCCGCUACAAG
rnacentral:rRNA from 1 species